UACGAAGGGGGCUAGCGUUGCUCGGAAUCACUGGGCGUAAAGGGUGCGUAGGCGGGUCUUUUAAGUCAGGGGUGAAAUCCUGGAGCUCAACUCCAGAACUGCCUUUGAUACUGAAGAUCUUGAGUCCGGGAGAGAUGAGUGGAACUGCGAGUGUAGAGGUGAAAUUCGUAGAUAUUCGCAAGAACACCAGUGGCGAAGGCGGCUCACUGGCCCGGUACUGACGCUGAGGCACGAAAGCGUGGGGAGCAAACAGG
rnacentral:rRNA from 1 species